rnacentral:rRNA from 1 species
CUUCGGAUUGUAAACUCCUUUGAAGGGGAUGAAUGUUCUGGUGAAUAGCCAGACGUGACAGUACUCUUCGAAUAAGCCACGGCUAACUACGUGC